UAUCCAAGUUCUUAAACAGUUCCAUACAAUCGCCUAGAAGAACAGUUCCAUACAAUCGCCUAGAAGAACUACUUCCUUGUAACCAAGCGCAUGUAGUUGUUGGACCGCUAACAACAAAGCCAUCGCUUCAGCAAUGAAUGGCGAGGUAGUGGAAUCAAUUGCAGAGCUUCCUUGGAGUCUAAGGGUGCCUUAUUGGCUAAAUAAGGACCACCCUAUUCCAGCUUUCUCAACUGGUGACUUCCAUGAUGCAUCUACAAUGCAAUACAUGCAUGUAUGAUGUUGGAGAAUGUCAUUGAGAGAGAUUUGCGGAGAACGAUGGAUGACCUGUGAGGUAAGGGUGUUUUGUCGCAUUGCUUCUUCCCAAACUCUAUCAUCCAAUAUUGCUGCAUGGGCUGUCUUGACAAUAUGAUCUCUCUCAUUUUCAAAAACUAACUUAUUUCGCAUCUUCCAUAUUCUCCAACCUAUAAAGAAAGGCAAGUUUUUCUGUAACUGAGCAGUGGACCUAUCCAUCAAGUACUGGAAGAACUGGAAAAUAGCUAUAUUUGACUGAGGGAACUCAGCUACAGGGAGUCCGUUAUGGAGGAUCUUCCACCAGAAAAUUUUCAACUUUGGUGGAAGGUUUAACUUCCACACUUUAGAUAUGAGUUUAUGAUGUAGCUGAGAUUGAGAAGAAAGAGGAACCUGAUUCUGCCGAGUCUCUUUGUCCAUUGCUCUUUGAAUGUAAUAUCCAGUCUUAACUGUAUAAUGUCCUGAUUUACUUGGAAACCAGAAGAGUACAUCUUGCGCACCAAACCAACUGGGACGGAUAUUUAAAAUUUUGGAUACAUCAUGAUGAUGAACCAGGUUCUGUAUCUUUUGAACAUCCCAGAGCUUAGUUCCUGCAAUAAAUAAAUCCUUGACAAGUAAAUCAGGGUAUAGAGAGUAUCCCAGACCUGUUGGAAAAGGAUUAUGUGCAUCAUUGAGCCAAUGAUCCUUCCAAACUCGCACUUUUUCGCCAUCUCCAACCAGCCACCUUGUUCCUCUCUGUACCAGUUCUUGUGUUUGGACAAUGCUUCUCAGGCAAGACUUGAAGUUGGGUAACUUCUAGCCUCCAUGAAAUUUAUUUUCCUGUAAUAUUUUAGAUUUGAAUACACGGGCAAGCAGGGAAGAGGGUUGAGUAAUUAACCUCCACGCUUGUUUCGCAAGGAGUGCUUUGUUGAAUGCCAUCAUGUCCUUUAAACCUAGCCCUCCCUCUCUUCUUGAAGCAGUAAUCUUAUCCCAUGCUAUCCAUGGAAUACCACUCUUGUCUUUGUUUACUACCCACCAGAAUUUCCUCAUAGCUUUAGUAAUCUCUUGAAUCAUAGUUUUAGGAAGCAUGAAACAAGACAUAGUAUAAGUAGGGAUAUCGGUUAUUACUGCCUUGAGUAAGACCUCUUUACCAGCAGGGGAUAAAAACUUAGUGUACCAGCUCUCAAGCUUGUUUUUAAUUCUCUGAGUUAUAAAUUGAAAUGCCUCUUUCCUAUUUUUUCCUAUCUGUUCUGGUAACCCUAAGUAUUUUCCAAAACCCCCCAAUUUUGACUAUACCAAGUCGUUUCACAAUUUGAUCUUGGACAAGGCUAGGAGUACCUUUACUGAAGAAUAUAGCUGACUUAGUAUAGUUGAUUUCUUGACCUGGGGCUUGCUGGUAAAUGUUAAGAAUGCAUGAAAGGUUAUGUACCUCUUCCAUCGUUGCUUUGCAGAAAGCAAGGGUGUCGUCCGCAAAUAAGAGAUGUGAGACUGGAGGUCCACUUCUCGAAGCCUUGAAACCAUGUUGAAUGUUAUGUUUAAUUAGCGUGGAUAAGCCUUCUGUACAAAGGAUAUAAAGAUAAGGUGAUAUAGGAUCACCUUGUCUCAGUCCUCUUUGGGGUUUGAUGCUCCUUGACUGCUCACCAUUGAUCAAAACUGUAUACGAGACAGUGGUAAUGCAAGUUUUGACCCAGCAUCUCCAUUGCUUGCAGAAUCCCAUUUUUUCCAUGACUGCAUCAAGGAAACUCCACUCCACCUUGUCAAAAGCCUAUGCAAUAUCAAACUUAAGAGCCAUGAACUUGUUUUUUAGAUUUUUUGUAUGAAGGGACUGGAGUAAUUCGUGAGCGAUAAGGACAUUAUCAGUUAUUAGUCUUUCAGGGAUGAUGAAAGCAGUUUAGUUUUCAGAGAUAAUUGUAUUAAGCCAUGGUUUAAGUCGCUGGGCUAGGAUCUUUGAGACUAUCUUAUAGGCCACAUUAGCUAGGCUAAUAGGUCGAUAAUCUCUUAUAGAGGAAGGGUUUUCAAAUUUUGGUAUCAAGCAAAUAUGGGUCUGGUUGAGUUUGGGGUCCAAGUAAUUUUGCUCAAAAAAUUUCUUAACAAAAGAUAGAAGACCUGGUUUGAUGGUUUUCCAAUGCUGCUGAUAAAAGGCUGGUGUCAUGCCAUCAGGGCCAGGUGAUUUAUCUGGGUUCAUAGCGAACACAGCUUCCUUGUUCUCUUGCACUGUUACUGGACCUGUUAAGCUCUGGUUGAUUUGAUCUGUGAGUAUGUAUUUUUUUUUUUUUUUUUGUCAACUAUAGACUAUGUAUUUAAUCAUGGAGGUAUCGAACUAAUAAGUAAUUUUAAAUAUUCAAUCGAGAGCGAUAAUUGUAUUCAACUUUUUAUAACAAAAAAAAAAGGACAACAUACUCAAAACUCAAAAAAAGUUUGAACAUAGUUUAAACAGACAAAAACUCAUCAGGAUUCAUCAUAGCAAAAGGCUCCAUUUUCUCAUCUUCAAAGGUCUUGCACGCUCAAACCUGAUAAAAU